UAGCGUUGUUCGGAAUCACUGGGCGUAAAGCGCGCGUAGGCGGUCAUGCAAGUCAGAGGUGAAAUGCCGGGGCUUAACCCCGGAACUGCCUUUGAAACUGUAUGACUGGAGUCUUGGAGGGGGUAGUGGAAUUCCUAGUGUAGAGGUGAAAUUCGUAGAUAUUAGGAGGAACACCAGAGGCGAAGGCGGCUUUCUGGCUCGCAACUGACGCUGAGGCGCGAAAGCGUGGGGAGC
rnacentral:rRNA from 1 species